CGCAAGCCUGACGGAGCAAGACCGCGUGGGGGAGGAAGGCUCUUGGGUUGUAAACCCCUUUUCUCAGGGAAGAACACAUGACGGUACCUGAGGAAUCAGCCUCGGCUAACUCCGUGCCAGCAGCCGCGGUAAUACGGAGGAGGCAAGCGUUAUCCGGAAUUAUUGGGCGUAAAGCGUUCGUAGGCGGUUUUAUAAGUCUGCUGUCAAAGUGCGGAGCUCAACUCCGUAAGAGCAGUGGAAACUGUGAGACUUGAGUGUGGUAGGGGUAGAGGGAAUUCCCGGUGUAGCGGUGAAAUGCGUAGAGAUCGGGAAGAACAUCGGUGGCGAAAGCGCUCUACUGGACGGCAACUGACACUCAGGGACGAAAGCUAGGGGAGCG
rnacentral:rRNA from 1 species